rnacentral:rRNA from 1 species
CUUAACACAUGCAAGUCGAGGGGCAGCAUAGAAGUAGCAAUACGUUGGUGGCGACCGGCGACGACGGGUGAAGUAACGCGUAUCGCAACCUACCUAUCAGGAAGGGGAACUAACCCGGACGAAAGUCGGACUAAUACCGCAUAAAACAGGGGCACCGCAUGGUGAUAUUUGUUAAAGAAAUUCGCUGAUAGAUGGGCAUGCGUUCCAUUAGGUAGUUGGUGAGGUAACGGCUCACCAAGCCGACGAUGGAUAGGGGAACUGAGAGGUUGGUCCCCCACACUGGUACUGAGACACGGACCAGACUCCUACGGGAGGCAGCAGUGAGGAAUAUUGGUCAAUGGGCGGGAGCCUGAACCAGCCAAGUCGCGUGAAGGAAGAAGGAUCUAUGGUUCGUAAACUUCUUUUGCAGGGGAAUAAAGUGCAGGACGUGUCCUGUUUUGUAUGUACCCUGAGAAUAAGGAUCGGCUAACUCCGUGCCAGCCGCCGC